UACGGGGGGGGCAAGCGUUGUUCGGAAUUACUGGGCGUAAAGGGCUCGUAGGCGGCCAACUAAGUCGGAUGUGAAAUCCCCAGGCUCAACCUGGGAACUGCAUCCGAUACUGGAUGGCUUGAAUUCGGGAGAGGGAUGCAGAAUUCCAGGUGUAGCGGUGAAAUGCGUAGAUAUCUGGAGGAAUACCGGUGGCGAAGGCGGCAUCCUGGACCGACAUUGACGCUGAGGAGCAAAAGCCAGGGGAGCAAACGGG
rnacentral:rRNA from 1 species